rnacentral:misc_RNA from 1 species
AAUUUGGAAGGUUAUUAUCAUUAAACUAAAAAAUGAUAUGAAAUAAAUAAAAAAAUGAAUGAAUACUUUUAUUCAAAGGAUGUCAGUGAGCUUCGUCGAAGUUUCAGAGAAGGAAAAAUGAAAAGUUUAGAUAGCAGGUUAACACAGCUUCGAUUAUUACAUAAACUUUUAGAAGAAGGUGAAAAUGAACUUUGUGAUGCUGUCUAUAAAGAUUUAAAAAAGUGCAGGGUAGAAACAAACAUGAUGGAAUUUCUUCAAAUUCGAAUAGAACUUGGUAAUGCAACACAAAAUCUUGAAAAAUGGAUGAAACCAAAACAAGUUAAAGGGGAUCUUAUCAACAAGCUGAACACCUGUCAGUUGCAUAAAGAUCCGCUUGGAGUUGUUUUGAUUAUUGGAGCAUGGAAUCUACCACUAUGGGAAAUUUUUUUUCCUCUUGUUGGUGCUUUAUCUGCAGGAAAUUGUGCCAUACUCAAACUUUCUGAACUUUCUCCGCAUACAGCUCUUGCUAUAGAAAAACUAGUUCCUAAGUACUUAAGUAGGGAUUGUGUUAAAGUUGUCAAUGGGGGCAUUGCUGAAACAACUGCUCUUUUGCGUGAAAGGUUUGAUUACAUAUUUUAUACCGGCAGUACGAAUGUAGGUCGAAUUGUUAUGAAGGCUGCAGCUGAACACUUAACUCCUGUAACUCUGGAGCUUGAUGGAAAGUGUCCAGCAAUUGUGGAUAGCACCUCCAAUUUUCCUGUAGUUGCACAACGUAUUGCAUGGUCUAAGUUUUCCACAUGUGGACAGUUAUGUUUGGCAGUUGAUUACAUACUUUGUCUUCCGAGUUGUGAAGAAGCACUUGUUGAUGCUCUCAUAGCUUCCAUAAAAAAGUUUUAUGGUGACAAUCCAAAAACAUGUGAAAGUUAUGGAAGAAUUGUCAAUAAGCAUCAUCACCAAAGAAUCACCAAGUUGAUUGAUAAAUCGAAAGUUGUCUAUGGUGGAGAGAUUGAUGAAGAUGAUUUAUAUAUUGCUCCUACUAUACUGACGAAUGUUACACCUAACGACCUCAUUAUGAAAGAAGAAAUAUUUGGACCUUUGCUUCCUAUUAUAGCUGUGUCUUCUUUGCAAGAAGCUGUUGACUUUAUUAAUAAAAGAGAUAAACCCCUUGCAGUGUAUAUGUUUUCAAAUGAUGAGAAAUCUAUCAGCUUUGUGACUUCUGAAACUUCAUCAGGAGGAAUGUGUGUUAAUGAUGCAGCUGUGCAUGCAGCAGGUACAAAUACCUAAUCUUCCAUUUGGUGGAGUUGGUAAAAGUGGUAUGGGUUCUUACCACGGAAAAAAAUCAUUCAACACUUUUUCUCACACAAAAUCAUAUUUGUACAAAAAUCAAAGACUUGAAAAUCUAAAUGCAGUUCGUUACCCGCCCUACA